UACAGAGGUCCCAAGCGUUGUUCGGAUUCAUUGGGCGUAAAGGGUGCGUAGGCGGUUUUGUAAGUCUGACGUGAAAUCCCCGGGCUCAACCUGGGAAUUGCGUUGGAGACUGCAAGGCUAGAAUCUGGCAGAGGGGGGUAGAAUUCCACGUGUAGCAGUGAAAUGCGUAGAGAUGUGGAGGAACACCGAUGGCGAAGGCAGCCCCCUGGGUCAACACUGACGCUCAGGCACGAAAGCGUGGGGAGCAAACAGG
rnacentral:rRNA from 1 species